rnacentral:lncRNA from 1 species
GACUGUCACAGUCUGUCCUGGCCACCUGUAGAGGCACCACUUCACACUUAGCCCCUGCUGCCCUUAGCCCACACAAGAGGUGCCCAUCCACCCAUAGCCUGAACAAGAAGCGCCCAUCCUCUCCCCAGAACUGACCUUCGGAGCCUAAGUCUCAGCAUCAAGCCCCCACCCGAGUGUCUCAAGCUGUGGUGUCCAGUGUGGUGAUGCAGAUGAUCUGUGCAGCUCUCACUCUAUUUUGCCCUCCUCUCAUCUCUUAUUACACUUCUAUUUUCCCUUUUUUCAUAGUUAUUGUGAUCUUCUAAUAAACUACCUAACUUACUCAUUGAUUGGUUUUAGUGUUUAUUAUUUAUUUUUCUCUGUUAGAACAAUAGCUCCAUGAAGACGAGGCCCUUUGUCUAUUUUCUCACUGAUACUCCCCAAACAUGUAGAAGUAUGCUUGGAACAUAGUGGUCAAUAAAUAUAUGUUGAACUAAUGCAGUUUAGAACCUUCCCCACUUGCACCUUGUUCACAUAUCCUAGGCUGAAGGCAAUGAGAACUCUGCCUUCUCCCACCAAGACAGAGAAACUCUUGCCAUUACAGAAACCUGAACAAAGAGACCAAGGGCUGAAAACAAGGUAAUUGUAGAUUAGACACCAAUUGAGAGCAUCAGAAAAGCUUUUUGACCCUUUAGGAAGGAAGCAUCAAUUCUCUUUAUUCAUCUCCAGCCCUGGAAGGAUAUUGAUUCAAUAGCAGGUUUUUUCUUUCUUGGUUUGGGGAAUCAAGGAACCCUACUCUUGUAAAUAAUUAACAACUAACUAGGAUAAAGAGGUUGAUUUGUAGAUUGAUAUCAACCUAUCUCCAUUCAGUUUUACUCCCAUGAAAAGUGCUUGGCACACUCACAUAGGAUUGUCUAAAAAGUUUAUCAUGGCCACCUACUGUUUCCCAGGGAAUUCCUAAAACUUACCUUCUAUUUCUAAGAACCUGAAGAUGGCUUUCCCUUGUCUCUUCUUGCCUUUUUUUUUUUUCAUAAGUUUACUUAUACAGGGUUUUAUUCUAUGUUGCAGUCACUAUAAAAACAUUUAAUUGUAACAUAUAUUAGUUUAUAUUUAAUAGAAAUCAUAUGCACAUAAUAAACCCAAAUAAAAACUCAGGACAUUGAGGCUUAGGUGAGCUUCUUGGUUGGUGAAAACAAGACAUGCCAGGAGGGUAAUACAUACCCUGAUUCCAUGGGCAGAGGACAUGGAAGCUCUGCUUUUGGGAACUUCCUAGAUCUCACCCAGUUAUAUUCAUAGUUGCUUCUCUUUUAGAUAUCCUUUGGACAUUAGGGAAGAACUUCCACAUUUAUUGUAUUGGAUAGCCUCAAACAUUAUAAAAAUGUACCACUAUCAUCCCUAAAUCAUAUCAGUUAUCUGAAAUUCUGCCUUAUCAGAUUUUUCCAUACGCAGCCUCAGCUGAAUGAGAAUAGGAAUUCUCCUAGGAAUGAAAGCCUAGAAGGAAUAUUCCAAUAGUUUCUACUAUCUUCUUUAUUUGGCUCUGCUCUAUUCAAUAUAUUCCCUCAAUGACUUGAAUAAUUACAUGGCAACAUGCUUGUCAAAUUUGCAAGUGACAAACAGCUUGUCUAAAUAGCUAAUAUUUUAUAUGAUAGGCUCAAGAGCACAAAAUAACUCAAGCAAUUUAAUGAGUAGGCCAAAAUUAAUAAAGUGGCAAUUCAUAGAGGUGAUUAGGCCAACAUCUGACACACAGUAGUCACUCUAUAAAUGACUGUGGGAUUAAUAAAUGGAUAAGAUAAUAAGCACAGAUUCUUAUUCUGAGGUUAUAAAAAGCAACAGACUUAUAGGUUUAUUGGAUGACAAGUGUCAUAAGAGCCAGUUUUAUGAGAAAAUGGGACCAUUGCUUGCAAGAGCAUAGCAACUAUUGUGUUCAUUUGUGGGAUUCACAUUUUUCAACAGAUGUUGACAAAUUUGGGUGAUACCAGAGAAAGAUGAUUAUGAAACUAAAAGGUUAUAUAUUGAUUUAUUCAUUCAUUAUGUAAUCUUGAGUGCCUACUCUGUAAAAGCCGUGAGCUAGUUAUUAAGGAUACAAAAUGUUUAUGUAUUAAAUAACUGAAAAACUGAAUACACAUUCAUUAUUUUGCUAUUAUUAAAUAAUAUUAAAAUAAAGUAUUAUGACAUUAUUUAACAAAAUAUGUAAAUAUAUAACAUAAUACUAAUCACGUAAUAUUACUGCUAUAGUAAUAAAUGCAAUGAUAUAAUAUAACCUUAUAUGUCAUUUCAUUACUAUGGAAAUAAUUUCAUUUGAUUGCAUGUUAUUGAUAAAUAGUAGUAACAUAUGUAUAAUAAAGCAUUUUUCGUUGUUUUGGUUUUGGUUUUGGUUUCGGUUUUUGCUUUUUUAGGGCCACACCCAUGGCAUAUGGAAGUUCCCAGGCUAGGGAUCGAAUCAGAGCUACAGCUGCCGUCCUAUGUCAGAGCCACAGGACCUUGAGAUCCGAGCUGCAUCUGGGAUCCACACCACAGCUCAUACCAAAUCCCCAGCCCACUGAGCAAGGCCAGGGAUUGAAACUACAUCCUCAUGGAUACUAUUUGGAUUUGUUUCCACUGUGCCAUAAUGGGAACUCCCAAUAAAUCCUUUUAUAAUGCCAAUCUUUCAGGUAUCGGAAUUCCAUUGGAAGCCAGAAUAAUUUCCAUGACAGUAAGUAUCCAUUACCUCCAUAUAUUAUUUCCACUUAAAUAAAGUCUUUAAAAUAUUUGGAAAAUAAUCUAAAUAUAGAUCCUUUAUAAAAUUUUGCAUUUUUCUUCAAUCAUUAUACUCUCUUGUUCACACCUUAUUUGGUGCUAAUUCUUUAGUAUGUGCUUCUACUGAGUUUUUCUAAAGCAUUCGACAUACUUUCAUUGAAACAAAGACUGUCCUUUUUAAGGAAUAUUUUAUUAUCUUACAUAAUAUUUACUCAAAUUCUAUAUACAGUAAGAACUCUAAUUGACAUAAGUCAUUUGAUAACUAACAUAAGUGACUCUUUGCAAACAUGCAAGUCACUGAUUGGAGCAGAAGUACAUGCAGGUACUAGAGAACUGCCUACUGGCCACAAGUAUGCUCUAGAUAUUCAUCAGAGUGUUUCAUUAAGGAAAAGAAUAAAAUAGCAUUUAAUUUUGCAAGUUGGUUAAUCUAGUCAACCGCUUAAGUAAGCUGGUUAAGAUAAUUCUACCUGGAGUUCCCGUCGUGGCACAGUGGUUAAUGAAUCCGACUAGAAACCAUGAGGUUGUGGGUUCGAUCCCUGGCCUUGCUCAGUGGGUUAAGGAUCUGGCAUUGCCGUGAGCUGUGGUGUAGGUCGCAGACACAGCUCGGAUCCUGCAUUGCUGUGGCUCUGGUGUCGACUGGCUGCUACAGCUCCAAUUAGACCCCUAGCCUGGGAACCUCCAUAUGCCAUGGGAGCAGCCCUAGAAAAGGCAAAAAAGACCAAGAAGGAAAAAAAGAUAAUUCUACCUGAAUAUUAACCAACUUUCACAUAGCUUUCAGACUUUCUCUUUAGAAAAUACACUCAAGCAUUUCAGUCUCCCCCUUAAAGUGUUUUAAUGGCCCUAGUAUAAAGCCCAACUCCAUGGACAAAACGACAUUUGAGGGAAGAAAUUUAUCUAAGAAUUAUUCCCUUCAGAUUAUAUUUUAGUGAUUUAUGAAUAGUUUAUAUUAAAAGAUUAAUUAUGGAAAUAACUGAGGUCUAGAUGAUGUUUCCUGCUCUGAGAAGUGCUUAGAUUUGCCUCUGGCUGUGGCAAAGGGCAUUCUCAAGGAAACGUCACCUCAAGCCAUUUAGUGAUUGGGUCUCUAGAGAGCCUAUUUCUCUCCUUCUGGCCUAUCUGGAGUGGAGGACUGUGGAUUCCCAACUCAAAGCAUGAAUGAUUUACUGGGGUUCCCCAUUCAAAAUGGGUUUUGGACCUCAAGCUCUCAGCUGCCUAUUCCUGGAUGACCAGGAGCUUCACCUAUCAAAGUCAACUCUCUGGGUUUCCCUUCUUCCAAAUCUGACCCUGUAGUUCUUCACUACAUUAAUAGUGUUCCUAUUUCUCCUAGAAGUUGUUCAAUAUUUUAUCCAGUAAAGUGUUGAGUUAGUCCUAUGUUUGAAAUCAUCCCACACUUAAAUCUUUGUAAGUAAAGAAGAAUGAGGGCCCUGACUUGAAGUCAAAAGACCAAAGUAGUGUAUCAAUUUCUGUCACUUACUAGAUGACUCACUUUGGGCAACACUCUCAUAGACUUGAUUUCUUAUAAAGAUAAGAAUUUUACCUUCCUGCAUUA